ensembl:lncRNA
CCUGGCGGCCCUCACCCAGCUCACCUGGCAGCCCCAACAUCCUCACGGUCCUCGCCCAGCUAAGACAGUGCGCCGCUGCAACAUCCUCCGCGGUCACCUGGCCCUAACCCCGGCGCUCUGCAGAGACGCUAAUAUGGCAUCUAUAAUUAGCCUAGGUUUCCGCUGAUAAGUCCCCACAAAUCACCAAUCGAUCGAACACAUCAGAGAGGUCCUAGGAAGAAAGAGCUUGAGCAACACAAAUGCUGCACUAGAUUUAUUUUUUUCUCUUCUCCGAACAGGCACAGGAGGUAGGCUCUCUCAUAUAUAUAUAUAUAGAUAUAUAUACGGUAUGUACUCGAUGACAUAAAGGUGAACAGAGGGUGGGAUUUAGAGGAAAACAACAUCUGCUUGACCCAGAACCAACUGAAAACUGCGGCUGCAAAUUCAGUCAGUCAGUCAUGAAAGUUUUCCGAUGCACCGUGCAUCUUAAGACACUAGUGCCUGCUACACUUGAAGAAAGGGGACUCGUUCGAAUGCGGAAUGCUUCGUCCCAACCAAUCGCCUACAGAGGAAUUCAGUUUUCCAGAAGACACGUCAUCAGAUAAGACAUUUCCAAUAUAAAACAACAUGAUUUUUUUUUCACAUUAUGCAAGAUGCAAAAUCAUCACAAAAAAAAAAAAAAUCUGAAAUCAAUUCAAAGUGAUUCCUCACAAAAGAAACACGUGAAGACCAUUUGAAGCCUUGGGAGAGAUACAGUAACCUUACAUUGUUUCCCUUUAAAAAUCACACCCACCCUACUCUCCCUAUUUUACCCGAUUUACAAAACAUAUCACACAACAGAUAAUAAUAGUAUGUGUGGAAAACAUUGAGAUGUAGAUGAUUUGGAACACACACACACAAUGGAAUGGGACAGAUGGAAUGUUCUAGAAUGAAGACAUGGUGGGGGUACAGCGGUAUGGGCUAUGAGAUAAAGGCCUUUGUUGAUUAGCACACUAUGGGUCCUUACGCGUAUUGAUACAGAAAGCCUCAAGUCCUUUGUGACUGAGAAAAAGGAUUGCGAGUCACAAACAAGUCAAAGGAAGGCUAUUCAAAGCACUUUAGGGAGAAAGAAAUCAAAUCUCAACGACACUGGCUGCCAAAGCAGGCCAAUACUCUAUUACUCUCAUCACCUGAGACUGCACACCACAGGUAUAUAUUAUAUAUAUAUAAAU